rnacentral:lncRNA from 1 species
CUCAUUUCUCAACCCGACUGUGAUGACUGCCGCUUGCUGGAAAGAUGCUCUGAAGACACAAUGAACUGACGAUGCGUCACCCCGACUCCUGCCUGAGCCACUCCAUUCCUUAAAGACGCAACCGAAUGCCAAAAAUACGGAGGAGGCAGUGCGGCAUGGAGGCGGAUCUGCCUUACGAAAUGGGCAGGGGCCCCACGCGUGGGAGACGGCCACAGGCAUUUGGAAGAGUGUGGCACUUUUUCAGGAAAUGCAACAUCCUUCUACUCUGUGACCCAGCGGCUCCCCCUGGUGUUUACCAGAGAGAAAUGGACGCAGACAUCUGCCCAGAUGCAGGCACAGGAAGGUUUGUAGCCGCUGUGUUUCAAUAUUGUAAUUGCGCCAAUCUGGAGAUGACAGAGUCCAGGCUCAGGAGCGUGACUGGCAGCUGUGGCACAUCUGUGCCAUGGAGUGCUGCUCAGCACCAGGGGCAGGGGCUGUGGACGGAGCUGUGGACACAAUGUCAGGACCACGGUGGGCGAGGAGACGGGAAGCCGGGGGCCCUGUCCUGUGGGGUUCUGGAGCAGGCAAAGCAUGCCUGGGACAGAGAUGGCCAGGCCAAUAUUACCCCUGGGCGAGGGCCAACAGCAAGGCCAGGACUGAGCUUUCUGGGGUGGUGUUGAUGCAGGUGGACACAGCUGUCUACACGGAGUCCACCUCCCCCACUGCCAACAUCUGUCCCGGAGGGCUCGGCUCACUGGCAGUUUGUCCGCAAGGUGGUGCUCAGUCACCAUGCACAGGAUAUUUUGACCGAAAGUUCUGUUUUUGCCAUAAAUUGCACCCUGACCACACCUGCUCCUUCUGAAAGCA